rnacentral:rRNA from 1 species
UAGGUAAUCUUCGGCAAUGGACGGCAGUCUGCCCGAGCAACGCCGCGUGAGUGCAGAAGGUUUUCGGAUCGUACCGCUCUGUUGUUAGAGAAGAACGUUGGUCGGCGUUGAAAAUCUACCACGUGCCGGUCACUACCCAUCAAGGGACGGCUAACUACUUUCCAGCAGCCGCGUUAAUACGUAGGUCCCGAGCGUUGUCCGGAUUUAUUGGGCGUAAAGCGAGCGCAGGCGGUUCUUUAAGUCUGAAGUUAAAGGCAGUGGCUUAACCAUUGUACGCUUUGGAAACUGGAGGACUUGAGUGCAGAAGGGGAGAGUGGAAUUCCAUGUGUAGCGGUGAAAUGCGUAGAUAUAUGGAGGAACACCGGUGGCGAAAGCGGCUCUCUGGUCUGUAACUGACGCUGAGGCUCGAAAGCGUGGGGAGCAAACAGG